UAUCGGAAUUACUGGGCGUAAAGCGUGCGCAGGCGGUUUGUUAAGUCAGAUGUGAAAUCCCCGGGCUCAACCUGGGAACUGCAUUUGAAACUGGCAAACUAGAGUGUGGUAGAGGGGGGUAGAAUUCCAGGUGUAGCGGUGAAAUGCGUAGAGAUCUGAAGGAAUACCGAUGGCGAAGGCAGCCCCCUGGACCAAUACUGACGCUCAUGUACGAAAGCAUGGGGAGCAAACAGGAUUAAAC
rnacentral:rRNA from 1 species